CGUUGUCUUUCGGAGUACAAUUCGAUAAAUUGUUUGAGGUUUAGUAUUAGUUGCAAGGCCACUUAUAAUCUGUGAAGUCAGGGCAGCUAUUUAUGGGGAGCAGAUUUUGAUAGGAAGAGCGUCUUAAGGUACAGGUUUAGCUUCCAACUCUACCCAUUAAAUUGAGAAGGGUGUUUCAGAUGGCAGACAAAUCAUCUGACGCUCCAAAGAAGAUGAAAUUUGUGCCGAAAAUUCCUCCUCGCAAACUCCCGAGGCCUGAACCCAAGAGG